GAUGAAGAACGUAGCAAAUGCGAUAAGUAAUGUGAAUUGCAGAAUUCAGUGAAUCAUCGAAUCUUUGAACGCAUCUUGCGCUCCUUGGUAUUCUGAGGAGCAUGCCUGUUUGAGUGUCAUUAAAUUCUCAACUACACUGACUUUGAAUUGGUGUGGCUUGGAUUUGGGGGGAAAAUUGUUGUGGGCUUUUUGUAUAGUCUGCUCCCCUGAAAUUGAUUAGCGGUACCUUUGUGGAACUGUCUACAGGUGUGAUAAUUAUCUACAUCUUAGACAUCUGCUGGAAUGCUGCUUUCUAAACCUUACUUGUAUUGACAAUCUUGACCUCAAAUCAGGUAGGACUACCCGCUGAACUUAAGCAUAUCAAUAAGCGGAGGA
rnacentral:misc_RNA from 1 species